rnacentral:rRNA from 1 species
UACGUAGGGUGCGAGCGUUGUCCGGAAUUACUGGGCGUAAAGGGCGCGUAGGCGGUUUGCUAAGUUGAAUGUGAAAACUCUGGGCUUAACCCAGAGCCUGCAUUCAAUACUGGCAGGCUGGAGUUCUGGAGGGGAUAGCGGAAUUCCUGGUGUAGCGGUGAAAUGCGUAGAUAUCAGGAGGAACACCGGUGGCGAAGGCGGCUAUCUGGACAGAAACUGACGCUGAGGCGCGAAAGCUAGGGGGAGCAAACAGG